GAUCAAUUGAAAGCUCUUCGAUCUGGUUGCCAUAAAACUCAGUUUCUUCGUCAGAGAUUAGUAGAGAAGAGAGAGGUUUUCUUUCUUUCUUUACUUCUUUUGUCUGUUGUAAUAGUCAGUAUGGUGAUUUAACACCGUUUAUUAUGUGCUAUAUAUGCUUUUUGAAAGAGAUGGCAUUAGCCAAUCUUGAUCCACGUCUCUCACCUACCGAACGCUGCCGUUUCGCUUUCCUCUAACGCCGUUACUUGACGGAUGGACGGUGCGUGAUUCAACGCAUUAAAGAUACGACCCG
rnacentral:lncRNA from 1 species